AUGCACAGGAUGUGAAUUGGGGAAUCAGAAUAGGAAUCAGAAUCGGCUUUAUUGCAAGGAAGUAGAAGCUGCAGCAGGAGCACGGACCGCAUGUUCAACCAGAUUCAGCAAUUACUGAAUAGAAAUGGAGCCCCUCACUGCCAAGACCAAAGAUAGUGUGUCAGCGCCCCCAACUGAGCAGGUCCCAGGGAAAGAGUCAGAACCCGUGAACCUCCUGCAGCAGACUCCCAACCGGAUGCCACAAAUGCAAGAUAAGGCUGA